rnacentral:rRNA from 1 species
AGUGAACGCUGUCGGUAGGUCUAACACAUGCAAGUCGAACGGCAGCACAGUAAGAGCUUGCUCUUACGGGUGGCGAGUGGCGGACGGGUGAGGAAUACAUCGGAAUCUACUUUUUCGUGGGGGAUAACGUAGGGAAACUUACGCUAAUACCGCAUACGACCUACGGGUGAAAGCAGGGGAUCUUCGGACCUUGCGCGAUUGAAUGAGCCGAUGUCGGAUUAGCUAGUUGGCGGGGUAAAGGCCCACCAAGGCGACGAUCCGUAGCUGGUCUGAGAGGAUGAUCAGCCACACUGGAACUGAGACACGGUCCAGACUCCUACGGGAGGCAGCAGUGGGGAAUAUUGGACAAUGGGCGCAAGCCUGAUCCAGCCAUACCGCGUGGGUGAAGAAGGCCUUCGGGUUGUAAAGCCCUUUUGUUGGGAAAGAAAAGCAGCAGGUUAAUACCCCGCUGUUCUGACGGUACCCAAAGAAUAAGCACCGGCUAACUUCGUG